CUGGUUGAUCCUGCCAGUAGUCAUAUGCUUGUCUCAAAGAUUAAGCCAUGCAUGUCUAAGUAUAAGCACUUGUACUGUGAAACUGCGAAUGGCUCAUUAAAUCAGUUAUCGUUUAUUUGAUUGUACCUUUACUACUUGGAUAACCGUGGUAAUUCUAGAGCUAAUACAUGCGGAAAGUCCCGACUUCUGGAAGGGAUGUAUUUAUUAGAUUCAAAACCAAUGCGGGUUCUGCCCGGUCAUUUGGUGAUUCAUAGUAACUGUUCUAACAAUAAAUUAGAAAGCAAGACGCCAUUUUGUUUUUUCUUCACAUCUAUUCGGUGGAUAAGACUUCUACCUCUAUCAUCCGGAUAACUUUAACCGCUGGAUAACUUUUAUUCGGGCUUUGUGCAACCGAAUCACGCCACUCGGAUAACUUUUAUCCGAGGGACAAGGAUUUAACCGGUGUAUAAG
rnacentral:ncRNA from 1 species